AGUGCAGCCUGGAAAGAACCAUACUAUAUGGACCACCAGAUUCUCGUCUUGCAAGCCAUUUUCUGGGAGGAGCAAACUUAAAUUCCUGCCAGUCUGCUCCAUAAUUUGGAGGAAAAGGGGAUCAAAUUUUCCUGUCAUAGAGUAGACUUGGUGAGAUGCCAGGUGUUAUUACACAAUCACUGGACAUGCCGGCAGCACGUUCAGGGGACCAGAUUGCUUUCCUGCACCCUGUUUCUCCCCGACCCCCAACACGGUCAGCUUCUCCUGUCAGCAUGCUUCCGGAAUCGGAUUUCAGUCUGCAAAAGACAUUGCCCACGCUUCCACUGAAGGGGCAGGUUGCCGGUUGUCGGGGAGUGGACGAUCCAUGGGUCCCAGGUUAAGAACCCCUGCACUGACCUCGGGACCCUUAGAGGCAGGAUCCGCCCUUACAGAUGUUGGCAUCUCUGACCCCUGAUACACUGCCUCCUGCAGUGUCGGUGACAGAUAAGUGGCUGCUAUUUCAAUCACAUAACUUUUUGAUUACUAGCAAUUGAUUAUUGAUUUUCACUUCUGUUGGAAGAGAGAAAGUGUUAAUAAAUCAUGAGAAUUA
ensembl:lncRNA